AGGGGUAUAGCUCAGUUGGUAGAGCGGCGGUCUCCAAAACCGUAGGUCGAGGGUUCAAGUCCUUCUGCCCCUG
rnacentral:tRNA from 1 species